GUCUUGGGCCUUGUCAUCAUUACUGAAUGCCUCUCGGCCAAGGCUUCGAAAAGCUCCACGUGCAGAGGAGCUGUAUGGCACCACGCUCUAUGACUCUCAGCUCUUUGACUUUCUGCUGCAUGGGGAGGUGGCCGAGCAGCCGCGCACCGAAGUGGCCUUCAAUUUACGAGGACUGCAGGGUGGUGGAGAAGAGGAUCGACGACUUCACUGAGUCACUCUUCAUCUUGCCCAAGUCCAAGUGGCUGGACGGUGCAUCCGACAAUUCUGGGGACAAGAUCCUCCUUCUCUGCAUCCCAUUUGAGAAGGAGGACAUCAUGGGACUGGACACAGAAAGCAGUACGUUUUGGUUACUGAGUCCCUCAAAUUCCCAUAUGAAUAGUAGCAGCAGCUAGUCAGUUACUGCAGAGGAGCCCGCUGGGAUUGUGAUCGAGACCACGUUGAGUAUACAGAUCGCUCUGGGGAGCACUGCCAUCCCAAGAGCGCUGUCAUCUGAUCCAGGAAUGUGCGUGGUGUGUCUGUCCAGGGGAAAAGAGUACAAUUCAAAAAUAUAAAGAUUGUGAGCUAAUGAGAUAGACAAGACAACCGAACAUUUGUUAAAUAUCCUUUCAUGCCGGACACAAAUGUAUUAUACACACAAAAAGCACACAAAUCACGGUAGUACUGCGGUUACAAACGUGGGUCCGAGUUCGAGUCCUGCUCUGGAGUGACCAGUCCUGUGAGAUGGAGAACUGAGAUCUAUGUAUAGUUUUUUACAUUCUAUACCUGGAAAUUUCUCCAAAACUGCUUCCCACGUGCCCUCACCUCCAGUGGCAUCCAUCCAGACACCAGCACUGACACUGGCCGUGCUCAGAACUGCCUCAGCCCUGAAGACACAACUGACAAAUAGAAGGGGGCCACGCCCUGUGACAGCAGGUGCUCUCACUUUGUGGGUCCUUAUGUAACUGCGCAGUGUUAUUCAGGAUCGCCCGUUCUACACUGUGUGACGCUGCUGCCGUGUCUCCUAGUUAUUUCUCGUUCCUAGGAGAGAAUUCAGCAGUGCAGCAUCCUCUCCGAGCUCUAUGAGUUGAUCGGCUUCCACUGCAAGUCCGUCUUCUUCAAGUGGGUGGCCCCCGUGCAGCGCGUGGCCCCAGGCAUCCCGGAGCCUGGCGGGAAGGCCUGCUACCGACUCCUUCUGCAGACGCUUCCUGGCUACAGUCUGUCACUGAUUCUGCAGGACUUCAACAAAGGUUUUGGGACUAAAACAUUGCUUCAGUCCGAUUAACCAUGCCUUGUUUGGGCCCUGCUCUCCUGUCUCAACAGGGUGAAUUGUGAUUCAUGUAGAGCAGGACACAGCAGACUUUUUUCUGUCAAGGGCUUGGGAGUCAAUAUUUCAGGAUCUGCAAACCUCCUGAUCUCUGGUGCAGCUGCUCAGCUCUGCUGUUCAGACGCCAGAGCAGCCGGAGAGUCCACACACCCACAGAGCUUUAUUCACAGCAGUGGCUGGGGCUGGAUUGGGUGUAUGAACUGCAGUUUGUCCCCACAGCCUCCUCACUAUUGACGCCUGUAACUGAGCGUGCAUUUGCGACAAUGGGUGAACCUACACUGACACGUCAUCAUCACCAAGAGCCCAUACUUGACACUAGGAUUUACACUUGGUGGUGUGCACUCUGUGGGUUUGGACAGAUGUACAAUGACACGUUUCUACCAUCACAGCAUCAUACAGAGUAGUCUGUCUUAGUGACCCUAAAAAUGCUCCUUGCUGCACCUCAUUCAUUACUCCUUCCCCUCUAGCCUCUGACAGUAACUGAUCUUUUAGUCUCUGUGGUUUUGCCUUUCCCAGAACACCAUACAGUUGGAAUCAGACAGUUGCAGAAUCUUCCCAGAUUGGCUUCUUUCACUUAGUAAUAUGCAUUUAAGGUUCCUCCAUGUCUUUCCAUGCCUUGAUAACUCAUUUUAUUUUAACACCAUAAAUAGUCCAUUUUCUGCCUGGACCACAGUUUAUUUAUCCAUUCACCUACUGAAGAACAGCUUAGUUGUUUCUGAGUUCUGGUGAUUAUGAAUAAAGCUGCUAUUAACAUCUGUAUGCAGAUUUGUGUGUGGACGUAAUUUUCCAUUUUGUUCAGUAAACACCAAGGAGCACAGUUGCCAGAUCAUAUGGUAGGAGUACGUUUAGUUUUGUAAAAAAUUGCCAGACCGUCUUCCAAAGUAUCUGGGCCAUUUUUCAUUCCCACCAGCAAUGCAAGAAAAUUCCUGACGCUCCACAUCCUCACCAGCAUUUGGUGCUGUCAGUGUUCUGAGUUUUGGCAGUUCUGACUGGUGUGCAGUGAUAACUCACUGUUUCAGUCUGCAGCCCCUUGAUGACAGAUGCUGUGGAGCAUGUUUCCAUAGAUUUCUUUGGCAUCUAGUUUCCAUGUUGAGGUGUGUGUUGAGGCAUUUUGCUCAUUUUUUAAGCAGGUUAUUCAUUCUUCUUGUUGAGUUUAAAGAGAUUUUGGUGUAUUCUGGAUAUCAGCCCUUUAUCAAUGUGUCCCUGCCCUUCACCUGCAGCACCGGAGUUGUCCUUUGGGUCUCAGUGGAGUGUCAGCUCUUCAAAGAGGUUCCCUGUCUUCCCUCACCUAAAUACUGUCCUUGAACUUUUCACUUUCAUUGACUCACUUUGUUCUUUUUAAAUAGCAUUUCCCAUAAUUUGUAAGUACAUUAAAAAAAAAGGCAAUGAUUGAACACUGCCUCCCCCACCAGGCUGUGUGCCCUGUGAGAGCAGAGACCCUGUCCCCACUCACCAUGUCCCAUGACAGCACAUGUCACAUGUCCAUGUAAAUGUGUGUAACGUGGGGCCAAACCUGAUGAGCAGCUAUGACGACAUGUGUUGGCUACCAUUCAUUGAAUAGAGUUUGUUUCUUGAUCUUAAUUUUAAAUCACAUGAAUGAAACAUGUUUCUUUUGAAAAAUAAAACAACAAAGCACACCUCCA